GAAGGUGUAGCUCAGUGGUAGAGCACAUGCUUAACAUGCACAAGGUCCUGGGUUCAAACCCCAGCGCUGCCA
rnacentral:tRNA from 1 species